rnacentral:piRNA from 1 species
UGUGCGGACGAUGGCUUCUGUCA